AGCAGCCACGGUAAUUCCAGCUCCAAUAGCGUAUAUUAAAGUUGCUGCAGUUAAAAAGCUCGUAGUUGAAUUUCGGGACCAUCAUGUCGGUCGUGCCUCGGUACGUACUGGCAUUGUUGGUUUCUUCCCUCUGACGAACCAUGAUGUCAUUUAUUUGGUGUCGUGGGAAAUCAGGACUGUUACUUUGAAAAAAUUAGAGUGUUUAAAGCAGGCUCACGCUUGAAUACAUUAGCAUGGAAUAAUGAAAUAGGACGUUUGAUUCUAUUUUGUUGGUUUCUAGGAUCGACGCAAUGAUUAAUAGGGAUAGUUGGGGGCAUUAGUAUUCAAUUGUCAGAGGUGAAAUUCUUGGAUUUAUUGAAGACUAACUACUGCGAAAGCAUUUGCCAAGGAUGUUUUCAUUAAUCAAGAACGAAAGUUAGGGGAUCGAAGACGAUCAGAUACCGUCGUAGUCUUAACCAUAAACUAUGCCGACUAGGGAUCGGAUGAUGUUAAUUUUUUAAUGACUCAUUCGGCGCCUUAC
rnacentral:rRNA from 1 species